rfam:Paraphaeosphaeria sporulosa strain AP3s5-JAC2a unplaced genomic scaffold CC84scaffold_13, whole genome shotgun sequence.
CUCCGCUUGGUGUAGUUGGUUUAUCACGUUCGACUGUAAUAUCUGUUGUAAUCGAAAGGUCCCUAGUUCGAUUCUGGGAGCGGAGA